UUGCUUGAUUCAGCAGCACAUAUACUAAAAUUGGAAUGAUACAGAGAAGAUUAGCAUGGCCCCUGCGCAAGGCACAAGUUGUAAAGCUUUGCAUUUCCCAGUUAAU
ensembl:snRNA U6 U6 spliceosomal RNA